rnacentral:rRNA from 1 species
GAUCAUGCUCAGGAUGAACGCUGGCGGCGUGCUUAACACAUGCAAGUCGAGCGAAGCAAUUUAAGUGAAGUUUUCGGAUGGAUCUUAGAUUGACUGAGCGGCGGACGGGUGAGUAACGCGUGGAUAACCUGCCUCACACAGGGGGAUAACAGUUAGAAAUGACUGCUAAUACCGCAUAAGCGCACGGUACCGCAUGGUGCAGUGUGAAAAACUCCGGUGGU